UGGGGGAUAGUUUAACGGUAGAACGACGGGUUCUGACCCCGUUAGUCUAGGUUCGAAUCCUAGUCCCCCAGCCA
rnacentral:tRNA from 2 species